GUUUUUUAGAUCAAGUAAAAAUGAUCUUAUUCUCAGCACAGCAGCAGAUGUAAGAAAUGGAAACCAACUUCUACAGGCACGAAGAAAACCACUGUGACCAAGACUGCAGGAUGUGACGCAGGCAGGAGUUGGUGACUGUCUCCCCGACUUCAGAUCCCCAGGAGCUGGAAAGGAUCCUUGAGAAACUGAUACAGGAGGGGGCUAAGCACACAUCCCUGUGGCGUUCCUGUGUUUAAGAUGAGUGAUGAGGAUGUGUGUUCACCAACUCUCACCACCUGCGGCCUGUUUGUGAGGAAGUUGAGAAUCCACCUGCACAUGGAUGGUCCCAGCCAAAGGUCGACGAGCUUCGAGGCAAGUUUUGAGGGGAUGGUGGUGUUGAAUGCCGAGCUGUAAUCGAUGAAGAACAUUCUUGCAUAUGUAUUCUUGCAUUGCAUAUGAAUGCAUUAUUAUUAGUUAUGAAUAUGUUUAUAAAUUACUAAAGACAUGCCCUUAAGUAAAAGAUUACCGAAGUGUUUUAAUAGUAUUCCCAACAUGGCAGGAGUCCAACAUGAAAGUCAUCAUCACCUGCA